rnacentral:rRNA from 1 species
GCGGCGGACGGGUGAAGUAAACACGUGGGUAAACCUUGCCCAUUAAGAACUUGGGAUAACUCCGGGAAACCGGGGCUAAUACCGGAUAACAUUUUGAACCGCAUGGUUCGAAAUUGAAAGGCGGCUUCGGCUGUCACUUAUGGAUGGACCCGCGUCGCAUUAGCUAGUUGGUGAGGUAACGGCUCACCAAGGCAACGAUGCGUAGCCGACCUGAGAGGGUGAUCGGCCACACUGGGACUGAGACACGGCCCAGACUCCUACGGGAGGCAGCAGUAGGGAAUCUUCCGCAAUGGACGAAAGUCUGACGGAGCAACGCCGCGUGAGUGAUGAAGGCUUUCGGGUCGUAAAACUCUGUUGUUAGGGAAGAACAAGUGCUAGUUGAAUAAGCUGGCACCUUGACGGUACCUAACCAGAAAGCCACGGCUAACUACGUGCCAGCAGCCGCG